GACUUUUGGAAGCUACCCGGAACCCGAACAAAGUUCCUAAAACUUAUUUUUAAAAACACAUGACCGCCAUCAGUAUAUGCGUAGCGACUAGUUUAUUUCUUAUUUCUAUUACAACAAACUUGACAACAGAGAGGAAGAAGAACAAAAAGAGCUUUGGAAAUGCAGAAACCUAUUUGGGGCAUCUUUGUGCUGAAGAUCAGUGGAACUAUCUUGCUGUGUUUUUACUCAGCUGUAGUCUUCAAACUGUUUGUAGUUGAUUGUUUAUUAUUUUUUACAACCUUCCUUUCAAUACGCAAAGCUAUGAGAAGUGGAUGGACUCUUUAAACGUAUUUAUGGAGGAGUAUGAAGCCGGACUUGAAGCGGCGACAUCAGCUGCUUACUACUCUGACUUCUGUGGACAAAUGUGAAAUAAAAGAGGCAGCAAACGACUGGAACGAAGAAAACGAUCACCUGACCCUGACAGAAAUGAUCCAACCACUCCCUUCCACCAAUUCCUGUUGUCUGUUGGCCUCUUUGGGGACGUCUGGGAUCCGUCCCUUGAGGAGUGGGGGCUAAAGUCAGUUGUGCGACAGGGGAAGCACAACUCUCACUUUUCCCAGUGAGGCCACCAUCCUCUCCAGUGGGUCUGCAGAGGCCGUCAUCUUCUCCAGUGGGUCCGUAGAUGCCGCCAUCUUCUCCAGUGGGUCUGCAGAUGCCUCCAUCUUCUUCGCCCCCUGCUGUGCAGCCACCAUCUUCUCCGUCUCCUGCUGUGCAGCCGCCGCCUUCGUAGUCUCCAGCGGGCCCCCCACCGAGGCCGCCGUCUUCUUUGUCUGCAGCGGGCUCCUCGCCGAGGCCGGCGCCUUCUUCGUCUCCAGUGGGCUCCUCGCCGAGGCCGCAACCUCCAACUUGUUGGUCGCACAAGCGGCCAUCAGGCGCCCGCACACGCCCCCCUCGUCGGCCUAGAGUGUGGCCGUUUCAUGGACGCCCUCCGCGCCCUCAGAAGCUAUGCCAAGGACCUGGGCAUGGACGAUUGCAGCUGCUGGUGCACCAUGGCCACUCGCGUCUGCCUUCUCGUUGGCCACAAAUGUGGCCAUUCCGUGGGCACCCGCCUCGCAAGAUGCAGCGGCCUUCAACUCGCCACCGCCGCCACCUGGCUCUUCCCCACUUGCACAUGGCCUGGACUGAUGGUCGGCUUUUUGAGGCAGGGGUGCAGUUUUGAAACCCUCCGCCAUCCCUCCCUCCACCCUCCCUUGGUUUUGGACUUUUUGUUAAACUUAAUAUCAGGAAUUCGUUAUAGAAAGGGGACUACUGUCAGAAGUGCUACUGACAGUUUGGUUAUGUUUUGGUUUUCCUGUGUUUAGAAUCACCUCCUGUCCUGGAGCUCUU